CCUACGGGAGGCAGCAGUAGGGAAUCUUCCACAAUGGGCGAAAGCCUGAUGGAGCAACGCCGCGUGGGUGAAGAAGGUCUUCGGAUCGUAAAACCCUGUUGUUAGAGAAGAAAGUGCGUGAGAGUAACUGUUCACGUUUCGACGGUAUCUAACCAGAAAGCCACGGCUCACUACGUGCCAGCAGCCGCGGUAAUACGUAGGUGGCAAGCGUUAUCCGGAUUUUUUGGGCGUAAAGGGAACGCAGGCGGUCUUUUAAGUCUGAUGUGAAAGCCUUCGGCUUAACCGGAGUAGUGCAUUGGAAACUGGGAGACUUGAGUGCAGAAGAGGAGAGUGGAACUCGAUGUGUAGCGGUGAAAUGCGUAGAUAUAUGGAAGAACACCAGUGGCGAAAGCGGCUCUCUGGUCUGUAACUGACGCUGAGGUUCGAAAGCGUGGGUAGCAAACAGGAUUAGAUACCCGUGUAGUC
rnacentral:rRNA from 1 species